rnacentral:rRNA from 1 species
GAUGAACGCUGGCGGCGUGCCUAAUACAUGCAAGUCGAGCGAACGGACGAGAAGCUUGCUUCUCUGAUGUUAGCGGCGGACGGGUGAGUAACACGUGGAUAACCUACCUAUAAGACUGGGAUAACUUCGGGAAACCGGAGCUAAUACCGGAUGAUAUUUUGAACCGCAUGGUUCAAAAGUGAAAGACGGUCUUGCUGUCACUUAUAGAUGGAUCCGCGCUGCAUUAGCUAGUUGGUAAGGUAACGGCUUACCAAGGCAACGAUGCAUAGCCGACCUGAGAGGGUGAUCGGCCACACUGGAACUGGGACACGGUCCAGACUCCUACGGGAGGCAGCAGUAGGGAAUCUUCCGCAAAGGGCGAAAGCCUGACGGAGCAACGCCGCGUGAGUGAUGAAGGUCUUCGGAUCGUAAAACUCUGUUAUUAGGGAAGAACAUAUGUGUAAGUAACUGUGCACAUCUUGACGGUACCUAAUCAGAAAGCCACGGCUAACUACGUG